rnacentral:misc_RNA from 1 species
CUGUUGCUGUUGUUGCUGCUGCUGUUGAUGCAGAAACAGUGACUGAUCUGAAUGUUGAGGUUCCAAUUUUACUGUUGCUAAACUUCUCAUAGACUGAAUUUGUUGAGGUUCCAAUUUUACUGGACCAAGAUUUCUAAAUGGCUGCAGUUGCUGUGGCUGUUGCUGCUGUGCUCCAUGUUGGUCAUUUGUCACCUGAGGUUCCAACUUGACAGGCCCAACACUCCCUAUUCCUCCACGAAUUGGCUGAAAUUGGUGUUGCUGCUGCACCUGGGUAUUAUGCGGGGCAGGGAACUGUUGCAUAGGUUGCUGACUGUGCUGGACACUUUGAGCUUCAAGUUGUUGGGGUUGCUGUUGAUCCAGUAACAACUGAUUGCCAGAAGGAUUUGAAAAUUGCUGUCCCUGAACUUGACCAGAUGGACCAGGACUUACCAUACUUGACGGUACAAAUGAUGAUGAAGGAGCAUUGAAACCCAUUCCACUACCAACUCCGGAAAGUGGAUCUAUUUCAGCCCCACCAUCAAUAGCUCCACGCUGGCUGCUCCCAGGACCAGAAAGCCCUGGAUUUGGACCUCCAUUUCCAAACGACUGAUUAAGGAAGGACAUAUUGGGGACAUUUCCAAGCAUAUUCAUAUUAUUAAACUGAGUGCGUGGAGACACUAACGAAGGGAAUGCAGUCUGAGAAGGCAGAGGACCUCCUUGAGCUCCUAGCAUUCCCGAAUUUGAUCUCAAAAGCGAAGGAGAAACAGACUGGGCACCACCAAUUGGCGUCGGUGGCCCCGAGGGUACCAUUUUAUCAAGAAUGACAAUCUACAAGCACUUCUCUAAGUAUUACAACUAUCUAAAACAACAUGAAUUGAAUAAGCCUAACAAAUCAGAAUGAAGGACACAUACAGCUGCACCUACUUAGCAUUUCAACUCCUUAUCUAAAGCUGCUGACUUCAAGGUCCUUAUUGUGAAGUCCUUAUUGUGCACCAAUUGAAAUGAGUAGGUUCCGUGUCCGAGCAGCUGGUGUUGCGUUUUACGACACACAAGCCAAAGACCAAAGCAAUCAAAAUCAAAAGAACAUGUCUUGAUUCUGAACAUUCUAUAGUCCCGCUAUCUUCACACGACCAGCAAUCUUCCAAUGGUCCUCGCAUGAAUAUCCGCAGUAGAAAUUAACGGUAGUGAGAGGGACAACAGUGAACAAGACAGAUUUCUCUAAUCAAAAGCAUAUACCACAAUCCCAAAAAUUCUCUAUAAUCAACCAAAGAACAAAAAAGAAAAACUCUCUUUGUUGCAUAAAGACGAAGAAGGAGCUUAUUCAAGUCGGAAGGGUCUCUGAACUCUAGGGUUUUUGUACGCUGAGUUCGCCAAAAAUCUACCUUCUUUUUUAAGUUCGCCUUUUUUUUGUUGUUGUUUUCUCUCUCUAUCAGUAUAUGAGUUGUGUGCCCUGCUAUCGUCUGCUGUAGAGAAAGAGAGAGACCGUUUAGAGAGAGAAAGGGAAGAGAGAGUGUGGGUGUCCUUGCGGACGUCAAAAUUGUAUUCGAUCGGAUUGAAUUUUCUCCAUCUUCAUUCUGUUUUCUUUUUAUUUUCUUCUUUUCUCUCUCUAAGAAAAUGAAGUCAAAUGCUCUUCUUCU